UGAGGAAUAUUGCGCAAUGGGGGCAACCCUGACGCAGCCAUGCCGCGUGAGUGACGAAGGCCCUAGGGUUGUAAAGCUCUUUCAGAUGCGAAUAUAAUGAAGGUAACAUCAGAAGAAGCUCCGGCUAAAUUCGUGCCAGCAGCCGCGGUAAUACGAAUGGAGCGAGCGUUGUUCGGAAUCACUGGGCGUAAAGCGUAUGUAGGCGGACUUGAAAGUCAGAAGUGAAAUCCCGAGGCUCAACCUCGGAAUUGCUUUUGAAACUCCAAGUCUUGAGUCCCGGAGGGGCCAGCGGAAUUCCGAGUGUAGAGGUGAAAUUCGCAGAUAUUCGGAGGAACACCAGUGGCGUAGGCGGCUGGCUGGACGGGAACUGACGCUGAGAUACGAAAGCGUGGGGAGCAAACAGGAUUAGAUACCCCCGUAGUCC
rnacentral:rRNA from 1 species